UUUUCUUCACGUAUUAAUAAUAUGAUGGAAUAGUUACAAAAUUUAAAUGGUUUUGAUUUUUAAUAAUAAGUCUUUGCGUAUUUAUUCACUUCAUGUGUUCUCACCGGCUUUGAGCUGCAAGUAAUUGAUGUAACUUGAGGCUAUAUAGGUCGCCUUUGUGGCUACAUAGAAGUUUAAUGAUGUGAAAACUAAAAAAAGGCACCUAUAUUCGGAUUUUUUAUUAGACGAAGUCAACUGACGUUUACUGUGUUGUCAGUUUUUGAUGAAAUAAAAAUAGUGUUGUGACAAAGUGAACGAUUGAAAAAACUCCUGAAUUAAUGAAAUUGCCUCGAUUGUCUAGUGAACAGUUGGUGUGCCGAAUUGCCGAUAUCGGGUACGGGGUUCGAAUUUUAGGCGUGCUUUGUACAUACCAACGAUUUUUCGACGAAAUAUUAUGUUCCUAUAGUAUCUAGCUGUACUGAAUACCGAGUGUUUUAAUUAAGAAAAACACUGCGAGGAAGCUUGUAAGACUGUCAUAUUUCCAAUACAUCAUAUAGUUGAAAUUAUAGAUGUAUAAAAUAUAACAAUUAUAGGUAGGUAAUGAAAAUAAAAAAGCUGAUUGUAGUUACAUACUACUAGCAACAUAUAUUGGAGCACUCUAAUACAAUUUUAUUGUAAAAUAUAAAUAAUACUCUUUUAUAGUUUGAAAUUAAUGAUUAACUCUUCACACUCAUUGUUCAUUUGUGAUUGAACGAGAACUGAACGCAUCACUAUUACUUUAAAUAUAGCAACAUUAUUUCACAAAGUGACAUUAGCUACUGUCAGCUAGCUUCGUCUAAUUAAAAAUCCGACUAUAAAAUAAAUCCUUAAAUACGUGAACGUUGUAUUUUUAUUAAUUUGUGACUUUUAUACAUAAGUGUAUAUUUAAAUUAGUCUGGUGUUUUCCUCCUUUCUUUAUGUUGUUUCUUGCUUGCUGAUUGUUUUUAAUUAUUUUUUUUGUUUCUAUGCUUUUGUUUCUCUAGUGUUUUUAAUUUGUUUAUAUUGAUUAAUUGUAUACAGCCGAAAUCUGUCGAUCAAACUGAGGAGGAAAGGAUUUUUCCAUACAAUAUAAUCAAAAAGUCAUCUUGGCCUAAAAGAUAGUCGCCUGGUAACCUACUCGAAUGACUACAAACAGACUGGUUGUGGACAUUUUAUUCUAAAACAUUGAAUCUGUUUGCGGCCACGAGGAUUCGUUUUACGGCCGCGCCUGAAUUUCGGACCGCCUUUCAAUUUAUCAUCUUACUAAAUUCAAGACUUUACCUCGAAGAAUCGAUUUAAACAGAAAGGCCGGCGCCCUACCCCGGACCGGGCCGGAGUCCAGUCGGGGCCAUUGACACUGGCCCUAGCAAGAGCCGUGCUUCGCAGAAUCUACCACAGGAUCGGAAACGCGACCCACUGAGAAGAUCUGGCGAGAAACUCAGUGGGCUGUGUCUAUGGAUUAAUUCGCUCGUCGAGCUUUUCGAGUUAUUCCUUUACCGUGGAAGUCAAUCGUGAACAUUUGUUGAGUUGCUCUAUGACAACACCCAAUCAGCCGAGACUGCCAAUCAAGAAGAAUUGUCACCGAUAAUAAGAACUCGGGAAGAGACGCAAAAAAAUAAUCAAAUACAGCGGCAUCAGGUUUUUGCAUUCAAUCGACCGGAAGCGCCCACUUAAAACUUCAAUCGAGACCUCACGUGAAUUGAAGUUUGAAUCGGCUUUAUCGCGGUGUGUUAAGGCACAAAUUCGUUUUGCACACAUUAGGGCGGUCACUGAACUGUGAUGUGUGACUAUUAGCUAACACCUGCCGAGAGAUGCUCAAUGAUUUUUGUUUUUAUAAGGAUGUCUUUAUGCAAACGUUAUCAAGUUUGGUAUUGUUGAAUGUUUUUAUUUAUAAUAUAAGUUUAUAAGUUUGUAAUAUGACCGUUUCACUAAUUUUUGGGUAUGUUGAGAACUUGCAGCGAGAUGUAUCACACCCGUAUUCCGAAUAGUGUUCAGUUUUUAAAUGUUCACGAAGAGAAGUACAUAAACAAUCAAAAUCAAUCAAUCAAUCAAAAAUUCACCCCUUCGUUGUAAAUACGAAUGACAAGUUAGAAUAAUACACAUUUAUUGGGUUUUUAUCUAAAUUAAAGUGGAUUUUGGAUGUAAGCUUCUUGCAUAACUACAUCCGUUGAAGCUUACAAAACAAUUGACGGAUCGAAAGCAAAAAUAAAACAGUUUAAUUCAACGUAAAAGUAGUUCGAUUACAUCGUCUAGCCUUGACACAUUGGGUACUCACAAAUAUUUUUUUUCUGAUUUAUAAUUAUGAAUUACCAAUAAAAUAUGGUAUAUAAAAUAAAUAA